rnacentral:rRNA from 1 species
CGAUGUCGGCUCAUCGCAUCCUGGGGCUGUAGUCGGUCCCAAGGGUUGGGCUGUUCGCCCAUUAAAGCGGUACGCGAGCUGGGUUCAGAACGUCGUGAGACAGUUCGGUCCCUAUCCGUCGCGGGCGUAGGAAAUUUGAGAGGACCUGUCCUUAGUACGAGAGGACCGGGAUGGACAUACCGCUGGUGUACCAGUUGUUCCGCCAGGAGCAUCGCUGGGUAGCUAUGUAUGGAUGAGAUAAACGCUGAAAGCAUCUAAGCGUGAAACUCGCCUCAAGAUGAGAUUUCCCAUUCCUUAUGGAAGUAAGACCCCUCAGAGAUGAUGAGGUAGAUAGGAUGGAAGUGGAAGUGCCGCGAGGCAUGGAGCGGACCAUUACUAAUCGGUCGAGGACUUAACCAAGUU